rnacentral:lncRNA from 10 species
CUGGUCUUGAACUCCUGACCUCAGGUGAUCCGCCUGCCUCGGCCUCCCAAAGUGAUGGGAUUACAGGCAUGAGUCACCGUGCUUGGUCCAUACAUUUACUUCAUUCAUGCAAAUAAGGAUAUACUAAUGAAGGGGCAUUCGUAUAUUUUUAUUUUUAUUUUGUUUUAUUUUGCAUUUCGUAUGUUAUCCAGUUUCACAUUCUCACAGGAUCAGCAAUGACAACAGCCAUUUAGUCUCCCAAGUCUGAAAUGGCAAGACAUUCACAGCUGUGGCUGACUACGUAAAGCACUGAUAUGCUCACAAAACAAAAAACAUUGCACAAUAUUUCCUUCAUUUCAUUUUUCUUAAACAAAUACCUGACAGGCUUAUGCUGAAGAAUGGAAAACCUUUUCUUCUUCCUGCCUCAAACUUAACAUUAAACUUAUGUGACAGAAUGAACAAGGUCACUUUAACAAUUAAUGGUACACACAUGAAAAAUCUUUUACGAUGCAUAAAUAUUUUGUUGCCAUGUUGCCCAGGCUGGUCUUGAAUUCCCAGCCUGGAGCAAUCCUCCCACCUUGGUGUCUCAAAGUGCUGGGAUUACAAGUGUGAGCCACUGUGCCUGGCCCAUUCAGAAUUGUUUUAAAGACUUUCUAUAUAUCUAUUAUGUAUCUAAAUUCAAAUUUGCUCUUUUGUUAAUAUGAUGAAUUACUUUACAUUGAUUGUUUUAAUUUAACACAUACUACAUUUAUUAUUUAGGGGUUUUGUUUGGUCUUGAAUAACAGAAAACUCCCAAGAUAUGCUCCACAAAUCAACAAGGUGCUGAUUUUUCUCCUAGGAGAGUCCAGAAAUAGGCCCUCGAUUGAUUAAAUGGUGCCCAGCCACGCUGGAUGAGGCCUGAUCUUCCUUACUCAACCUACGGAUUCCAAUGUCAAUCUGUUCUGGACUACCCUCACAGAUAUAUCCAAAAUUAAUGCUUUACCAGGUACCUGAGUAUCCUUAACCCAGUCAAAUUGACCCAUAAAGUUAACCAUCACACAGUGUUUCUCCAAUGUGUAUUAUCACAUGAGUGGUAAAAUAUGAAGAAUAAAUGAAGGAUUUUUCAUAUUGUUUACAAUUAUAGAGGCUGUCUUCGGUGUUUGUUCUCACAUUUCUAUUGAAAGAAGAGGGCAAACUGUAUACUUGCCCAUCUUUCUUACAUGCAUAAAGUUCCUUUUUGGUUUAUUUUCAUUUGAACAGGAAGUUUUGAGGAAUAAAUGAAGGCUUUUCUUCAUUCUCUAUAUUGAUAAAUCCUCUCUCCAACGUUAGUUCUUACAUGUACAGCAAGAGAUCUGGAAGAAAUCAAGCCUAUCUCACAUUCUUUUAUAUCCAUAGGGUAAAUUACAAUAUGAGUUAUCACAUAUGCCCUAAAGGAUUAGGGGCAACUCAAGGUUUUUCUACAUUUUUAUGUUAAUAAGAUUUCUCUUCAGUGAGAGUUUUCACAUGUUUUCUAAAAGAUUAAAGAAAAUUGAAAGCUUUUUCACAUUUCUUAUACUCAUAAGGCUUAUCUCCACUGUCUAC